rnacentral:lncRNA from 1 species
GCCCCACCAGCGGGCACUGGCCCACAGCCACGGCCGGGGGGCCAUCUAGCUGGAGAGAGAAGGGACAGGCAACUCCAUCCGCUCCUGCAACUGCCGGACGUGUGCCUCUAGGUCCCGGUUCCGAGCCUCUGCCUCGCGUAGUUGACUGUGGGGAGGGAACAAAUCAGGAUUCCCACCUGCCCAAGGCCUUUGCCCUGGAGGCUCUCGCCUGACCACUUGGCACCUUUCCUUCCAUGGCUUGUUUCUCCUUCACCAGCGCUCAGCUCAAAGAUCGACUUCUCAGAUCCCCAGCAACACACACACCCUUACUUAAUGCCCCACUGUAACUACAGAGACCGUCCCAUGUCUGAAGUAA